rnacentral:misc_RNA from 1 species
GAAAUGCGAUAACUAGUGUGAAUUGCAGAAUUCCGUGAAUCAUCGAGUCUUUGAACGCACAUUGCGCCCCCUGGUAUUCCGGGGGGCAUGCCUGUCCGAGCGUCAUUGCUGCCCAUCAAGCACGGCUUGUGUGUUGGGUCGUCGUCCCCUCUCCGGGGGGGACGGGCCCCAAAGGCAGCGGCGGCACCGCGUCCGAUCCUCGAGCGUAUGGGGCUUUGUCACCCGCUCUGUAGGCCCGGCCGGCGCUUGCCGAACGCAAAUCAAUCUUUUUCCAGGUUGACCUCGGAUCAGGUAGGGAUACCCGCUGAACUUAAGCA